rnacentral:rRNA from 1 species
UAGGGAAUUUUCCACAAUGGACGAAAGUCUGAUGGAGCAACGCCGCGUGAACGAUGAAGGUCUUCGGAUUGUAAAGUUCUGUUGUCAGAGACGAACAAGUACCGUUCGAACAGGGCGGUACCUUGACGGUACCUGACGAGAAAGCCACGGCUAACUACGUGCCAGCAGCCGCGGUAAUACGUAGGUGGCAAGCGUUGUCCGGAAUUAUUGGGCGUAAAGCGCGCGCAGGCGGCUAUGUAAGUCUGGUGUUAAAGCCCGGGGCUCAACCCCGGUUCGCAUCGGAAACUGUGUAGCUUGAGUGCAGAAGAGGAAAGCGGUAUUCCACGUGUAGCGGUGAAAUGCGUAGAGAUGUGGAGGAACACCAGUGGCGAAGGCGGCUUUCUGGUCUGUAACUGACGCUGAGGCGCGAAAGCGUGGGGAGCAAACA